rnacentral:rRNA from 1 species
UACGAGGGGUGCAAGCGUUGCUCGGAAUUAUUGGGCGUAAAGGGUAGGUAGGUGGUCUCGUUUGUCCGGGGUGAAAUCCUUGAGCUUAACUCAAGAAGUGCCCUAGAAACGGCGAGACUAGAGUCCUGGAGAGGGUCGUGGAAUUCCCGGUGUAGCGGUGAAAUGCGUAGAGAUCGGGAGGAACACCUGUGGCGAAGGCGGCCCCCUGGGCCGGCCCUGACACUGAGACGCGAAGGCGUGGGGAGCGAACGGG